AUGAAAGGAAAGGGGAGCUGCGGAGAAAGGGGCAGAGCCAACAACGGAGCGCCCAGGAGAGGGCAGGCGGGAGCCGCACGUGGCUCGCAGCGGGCAGGCUGCGAAGGGAAAGAAGGGAGUAGCAGCAGCCGCCAUGAUGUGGAAAUGGAGUCAGAGUGGUAAGACUUGGAGAGAGCCAUAUGAUAUUCCUGGUUCUAGCCAUAUGCCCCAUUUAUAAGGAUAGAGAAUAUUGACCCAAGCUUGCUAUAUCUUCUCUACUGGUAAAAAGGUAAGAAUCUUAAUUUGUGCCCACUGUAUCAUCAGUAGAGUUACCUAAAAUUUACAUAGGUAAAUGAGCUCAGAAUUUGGUACUCUUUUUUUCCCCCUAAAAAAAAAUAAUUAAAUCUUAUUCACUUGGUGACCACGCAAAAUACACUAUUUCAGCAUAUUAUAUAGCCCAAAGUGUUUGUAGUGCAUAUA